rnacentral:rRNA from 1 species
UCUUCCACAAUGGACGCAAGUCUGAUGGAGCAACGCCGCGUGAGUGAAGAAGGUUUUCGGAUCGUAAAGCUCUGUUAUUGGUGAAGAAGGAUAGAGGUAGUAACUGGCCUUUAUUUGACGGUAAUCAACCAGAAAGUCACGGCUAACUACGUGCCAGCAGCCGCGGUAAUACGUAGGUGGCAAGCGUUGUCCGGAUUUAUUGGGCGUAAAGCGAGCGCAGGCGGAAAAAUAAGUCUGAUGUGAAAGACCUCGGCUCAACCGAGGAAUUGCAUCGGAAACUGUCUUUCUUGAGUGCAGAAGAGGAGAGUGGAACUCCAUGUGUAGCGGUGGAAUGCGUAGAUAUAUGGAAGAACACCAGUGGCGAAGGCGGCUCUCUGGUCUGUAACUGGCGCUGAGGCUCGAAAGCAUGGGUAGCGAACAGGA